rnacentral:rRNA from 1 species
GACGUAGGGUCCAAGCAUUAUCCGGAAUUAUUGGGCGUAAAGGGUGCGUAGGUGGUCGUGUGUGUCUUUGGUUAAAGACCCGAGCUUAACUCGGGGAGUGCCAGGGAAACUACAUGACUAAGAGGCCAGCAGGGGCAAGUGGAAUUCCCGGUGUAGGAGUGAAAUCCGUUGAUAUCGGGAGGAACACCAGUGGCGAAGGCGGCUUGCUAGGUUGGAUCUGACACUGAAGCACGAAAGCGUGGGGAGCGAAAGGG